rnacentral:rRNA from 1 species
AGUGAACGCUGGCGGUAGGCCUAACACAUGCAAGUCGAACGGCAGCACAGUAAGAGCUUGCUCUUACGGGUGGCGAGUGGCGGACGGGUGAGGAAUACAUCGGAAUCUACUUUUUCGUGGGGGAUAACGUAGGGAAACUUACGCUAAUACCGCAUACGACCUACGGGUGAAAGCAGGGAAUCUUCGGACCUUGCGCGAUUGAAUGAGCCGAUGUCGGAUUAGCUAGUUGGCGGGGUAAAGGCCCACCAAGGCGACGAUCCGUAGCUGUUCUGAGAGGAUGAUCAGCCACACUGGAACUGAGCCACGGUCCAGACUCCUACGGGAGGCAGCAGAGGGGAAUAUUGGACAAUGGGCGCAAGCCUGAUCCAGCCAUACCGCGUGGGUGAAGAAGGCCUUCGGGUUGUAAAGCCCUUUUGUUGGGAAAGAAAAGCAGCAGGUUAAUACCCCGCUGUUCUGACGGUACCCAAAGAAUAAGCACCGGCUAACUUCGUG